UUCGUAAUUUUUCCUAUAUCUGUACUAUAAGACGUGACUUCGUACGAAAUUUCAAUAUUCUAAGUUCACGGGAAGUACCCUGUAGGUUUUGAUUCCAGUGCGAGUUUCGAAAAUUUGCGGCCUAAAUGGCUGUAUCUUUUGAUUGCGUUGGCUUAGAAGGUUGAUUUUUCUACAGCUUCCAGGGACAGUAGACCUGAGUAUCAUAUAGAAAUUUCAGUUAGAUACCUCCACGCGUUCCUGAGAAAAACGGUUAAGUGAAUAUCAAAUGUUGUAAAAAU